rnacentral:rRNA from 1 species
CAUAGUAUAUUAAAGCUGCUGCGGUUGAACCGCUCGUAGUUGGAUUGCGAUUUUCGGCCACGGUCCUCUAAGUCAAGAGGAUUGGCUCUGCCGCCGUUGGUCAUGAUCGGUAUUGUCAUGGUUGUCCUUGAUGCUCUUUGCCGAGUGUCAUGGGUGACGUGGACGUUUACUUUGAGAAAAUAAGAGCGCUCAAAGCAGGCUGCUCAUAGCUUGAACGGAAUUUCAUGGGAUAGUGAAAGAUGAUCUCGCUGGUAGUGUAAAAGCCACGAGGUAAUGAUUAAAAGAGACAGACGGUGGCAUUCGUACUGCUGCGUUAGAGGUGAAAUUCUUGGAUCGUAGCAAGACGAACAAUUGCGAAAGCAUUUGCCAAGAAUGUUUUCAUUAAUCAAGAACGAAAGUUGGAGGAUCGAAGGCGAUCAGAUACCGCCCUAGUUGCGACUUUAAACGAUGCCAACUAGCGAUUCGGCGAUGUCUUUCUAAUGACUCGCUGAGCAGCUCCCGGGAAACCAAAGUCUUUCGGUUCCGGGGGAAGUAUGGUUGCAAAGCUGAAACUUAAAGGAAUUGACGGAAGGGCACCACCAGGAGUGGAGCAUGCGGCUUAAUUUGACUCAACACGGGAAAGCUCACCCGUCCCGAACACUGUCAGGAUUGACAGAUUGAGAGCUCUUUCUUGAUUCAGUGGGUAGUGGUGCAUGGCCGUUCUUAGUUGGUGGAGCGAUUUGUCUGGCCAAUCCCGAUAACGAACGAGACUCUGGCCUACUAAAUAGUGACGGCUCAAUUUGCUUUGCCGAGCACUUCUUAGAGGGACAAGCGGCGGUACAAAGCCGCACGAGAAAGAGCAAUAACAGGUCUGUGAUGCCCUUAGAUGGACGGGGCUGCACGCGUGCUACACUGACGGCACCAGCGUGCGUUCAAGCCUGUCUUGAAGAGGUCAGGUAAUCGAAUGAAAUGUCCGUCGUGACUGGGACAGGGAAUUGCAAUUAUUUCCCUCGAACGAGGAAUUCCCAGUAAGCGCGAGUCAUCAG